GGGAGCGCUGCGCGGACAGAUCAGCCGGCGCCCUGUCCGGGAAUCGGCGAGCGGCAGCGACUGGCAGGACCGGACCAGCCCCGGCGCGGGGUCCUGGGGGCCGCACGGGUUGGGGCCACCUCGGUUUGGGAAAUGCUGGCUUGAGCCUAGGGUCCAGGCAUGGAAUUCCUGACAACCCCCCAGCCCCCUCCAGGACCUCCAGCCAUGGACCUUGAGGAGCCCAGGGAUACACUUUCACCCUCUCAGGACCUCACCCCUGAUCGCCAGUGGAACCCGGCACCAGGAGGCCCCAGCAGCCUGAGUCAGAUGGAACUUGACGGGCUAAAUAUUCAGGACCUGGUGCAACAGUUUGAAGCUCUGCCGGGUGAUCUGGUGGGCCUGUCCCUGGAAGGACCCCCGUGCCCCUUGCACAUUGCCACUGGCCAUGGCCUGGCCCCAAGGGACAUCACCGAUGCCCACGGGCUCUUGUCCGCCGAAGCCGACCGGGAAGACUUGCUGAGCCUCUUGCAACAAGAUGAGUGCCCUCCUUCCCGGUCGGGUCCCCGGGAACCUCCGGACCCUGCUCCUCGUCUCUUGCAGCCCCCUGAGGACCCAGAGGAGGAUGCUGGCUCCCAGGAGUGGGCAGAGGGAGCCUCUGCCGAGCGGGAAGAGAGCAGGAGCUCAAGCAGCUCCCCGGAACCUUGGCUGGAGACAGUACCUCUGGUCACUCCUGAAGAGCCACCUGCCAGUGCCCAGAGCCCCAAGACACUGGCUUCCUACCCUGCCCUCCAGGAGGUGUCCGGCCCCUGUGACCACGAAGACCUCCUAGACGGUGUCAUAUUCGGGGCCAAGUACCUGGGCUCCACCCAGCUAGUGUCGGAGCGAAACCCGCCCCCCAGCACGCGCAUGGCACAGGCCCAGGAAGCCAUGGACCGCGUCAAGGCCCCGGAUGGGGAGACUCAGCCCAUGACGGAGGUGGACCUCUUCGUCUCCACCAAGAGGGUCAAGGUUCUGACGGCCGACUCCCAGGAGGCCAUGAUGGACCACGCCCUGCAGACCAUCUCCUACAUCGCCGACAUCGGCAGCAUCCUGGUGCUCAUGGCCCGGCGGCGGCUGGCCCGGCGGCCGGCACCCCAGCCCCACAGCCGCCGGCUCUACAAGAUGAUCUGCCACGUUUUCCACUCAGAGGACGCCCAGCUCAUUGCUCAGGCCAUCGGCCAGGCCUUUGCCGUGGCCUACAGCCAGUUCCUGCGGGAAAGUGGGAUUGACCCCAGCCAGGUGGGCUCCCAGCAGAGCCAGGGGGCCUCGGGCCCCGGCCACCUCCACAACGGGGACCUCGACCACUUCUCCAACAGCGAAAACUGCAGAGAGGUGUGCAUCGAGAAACGCCGGGGCGAGGGUCUGGGCGUGGCCCUGGUGGAGUCGGGCUGGGGCUCCUUGCUGCCCACGGCCGUCAUCGCCAACCUGCUGCACGGGGGCCCCGCCGAGCGCUCGGGGGCCCUCAGCAUCGGGGACCGCAUCACCGCCAUCAACGGGACCAGCCUGGUGGGGCUGCCCCUGGCCGCCUGCCAGGCCGCCGUCCGCGAAGUGAAGUCGCAGACGCUGGUGACCCUCAGUAUUGUCCACUGCCCACCGGUCACCACGGCCGUCAUCCGCCGGCCCCACGUCCGGGAGCAGCUGGGCUUCUGCGUCGAGGACGGCAUCAUCUGCAGCCUCCUCCGGGGCGGCAUCGCCGAGCGCGGGGGCGUCCGCGUCGGGCACCGCAUCAUUGAGAUCAAUGGGCAGAGUGUGGUGGCCACGCCCCACGCCCGCAUCAUCGAGCUGCUCACGGAGGCCCACAUCGAGGUCCACAUCAAGACGAUGCCUGUCGCCACCUACCGCCUGCUCACAGGUCAGGAGCAGCCGGUGUACCUGUGACCCGCCACCUUCACCCCCACCACUCACCCCCACCACGGUGCCUUAGCCCCCACCGGCCUUGGAACUCCGUCUGCGGACCCUCGGUCGGGGCCCCAAAGGAAGACCUCAUUUGACCCCUGGCCUCACUGAUACUCCCUUUCACCAAUGAGGAAGCGGGUGCGGAAGGCAUCUUGGCUGGAGAAAACACAGACGUCACGGGCCGCAUCUGCACGUCCUGCCGCGGCAGCCGCUUGAAGCCGGACACCAGGGCCAGCCCGUUGGCCUCAGAGCCGCCGCCUGGGCUCCUGCGCCCGUGGCUGCCCGCCCGGCUCCGGCGACCCA